rnacentral:tRNA from 1 species
AAGAAUUUAGUUUAAUAGUAAAAUAUUAGAUUGUAAAUCUAAAGUAAUAAUUC